CACGAACCUUUCGGGGUUAGUGGCGGACGGGUGAGUAACGCGUAGGAAUSUGUCCACGGGUGGGGGAUAACUCUGGGAAACUGGAGCUAAUACCGCAUGAUACCUGAGGGUCAAAGGCGCAAGUCGCCUGUGGAGGAGCCUGCGUUCGAUUAGCUAGUUGGUGGGGUAAAGGCCUACCAAGGCGAUGAUCGAUAGCUGGUUUGAGAGGAUGAUCAGCCACACUGGGACUGAGACACGGCCCAGACUCCUACGGGAGGCAGCAGUGGGGAAUAUUGGACAAUGGGGGCAACCCUGAUCCAGCAAUGCCGCGUGUGUGAAGAAGGUCUUCGGAUUGUAAAGCACUUUCGACGGGGACGAUGAUGACGGUACCCGUAGAAGAAGCCCCGGCUAACUACGUGCCAGCAGCCGCG
rnacentral:rRNA from 1 species